rnacentral:pre_miRNA from 1 species
ACAGUGAGGGCCUGAUCCAGUUCCAGUGAAGUCACUGGGAAUCUUCCCAUUGGUUUCAGUGGGUGUUGGAUCAGGCCCUAAAUGU